rnacentral:snoRNA from 1 species
AGCAGAUAAUGUCUUUGCUCUCAUGACGGGCUGCAAAUGUCCUGCAGGCAGUACCAACAAUGCAAUGAUUCUGCUGAUGCGGUGAU